AUAGUUUCACUAUUGUUGAGUGUGAGUGUAAGUGUGAGGGUGUUGAAGAGAGUUGGACUACUGGAAUGGUGGCUGUGUGUAGUCGACACAGCUGGCAGCUUCUAUUGACAACACUCCUCACCUGUCAUCAACGAUUCUCAGGUAAAAUGAGAGAGGAUCUAUCAUCGCUGCAGAGUCUACGAUACGAUGUUUACCUGAAUACUAGCAUGAGUAAUAGUCCUGUGAACAGUCAAAGCAUCCCACCUUUGUUGUGAUAAGCACAUCCUUCUUUGUACUUCUUUGUUGUAAUACAACCACUCGGACAGGCUGACAUCAGAGUAACCUUCAAAUCUACCACUGUCUGUGGCAAUGCAGAUUUUGCACAGUUCUCCAACAUUUCCACUGUCAUUCUUACCACCAACAUCAUCAUCAUCAUCACUAUGAUAUAUCAAAGAUUACUCCAGCUGGCCAUCUUCAUGGCUUUAAUUCUCCAGGUUCCAGCUGGAACGAAAUGCAAAUGGUCGAAUGAAGAUUGUUCCGACGAUUCCGAAUGCUGCAGCCACCAAUGCAGCCAAGCACAUCCAGGAACAAAUUACAGAUGCACUCAGAAUCCAAUGAAUUACGCCUGUAUUUAUGACUACCACUGCGUAACCCGACUGAUCUGUGGCAGCGACCAACGUUGCUGUGCUGAUGAAUGGGGGGACUGUAUGCACACAUCGCAUUGUUGCGACCCUGCUCACAGUUGUAUCGAAGUCAAAGGCUUCAUUUAUAAACGUUGCCUUGAAGGAAAGACUAUACGAACAGCAACAGUAUCGAUUGCAGCCCUAAGCCAUUGCCUCCUUCUUUCUCUUGGAUUGUGGUUAAUGUCAUUUUAAAAAAGAAAACGGAAGGAAAAAAUGCACCCCGCCACGUAUUUUAAAUAUUUCAGGGGAGAUAACUAAUGGCUACUCUGUGAUACGAUACGUUUACCAGACAUUUAAGUGAAGAAAUAUAUAAAGCUAAAAACGAAAUUUUCUCUUUAUUUCAAACUAGUGUUGCUAAGAUGUUUCCCUUUUUGUCUGGUUUGAUUCAACUGAUAAAUUCGAAAGUUCAAUCAAACGACUUUACUGUUGUCUUGUUACUUGAUAGACUUAAAAUUUAGGGAACCAAUACUUAACAAUUUGGGUUUUUUGUCGGGAAAAGGAUGUUUUCGUUUCACUCUUUUCUUCCUUCAGAAGGCGUCCCUGAGUAUUUCUGGAUUAGCGAAGUUAUCUCCCCUGUAAUACAAAUUUCACCAAACUCGUUACUAAAAUUUUUAUUCCACUUCGUAGGGACGAUCGUUGGUGAUUUACAUUUAUUCUUUCCGAUACAUUUAAUCAGUUGCUAAGAAUAAUGUCUUUAUAUUUCUUAUUUUUCAUAUAAUUCCACGUCAAUACUUAACUUUGUACAUCUCUUAACUUUCGUUCUGUUUCCCUAAACGGCAGUGUGUGCCUCCAAAACACACUUGGGCAGAAUGGUAUCUAAGACCCUGGCUUGCCAGACAUCAGAAUUCCCUCCUUUUGUCUUGCCAGUAUGAUCCUGAGAAGAACGGAGUCCCAUGCCUGGCAGUAGCUUGACCUCAAGGAAACUGGUGAUAAGUGCCUUGCCCAGGAACAUAACACAUAAUACUUGUAGUGGGUACCCUUUUUUAUAUCAUGUAGCCGUUGAGCUGCUCACUACAUUCAUGCAAAAUUAAAGACUAUAGCAAAAGUUCUCAUUGAUAAAAUGAGAUGUUUUCUUUUACACACAUAACUUCCAAAAUGAUUCUUUAAAAUGUGUUAGAAGUUUUUUUUCUUUUUUCAGAAUUUGUAACUAAAUGAGAUUUUUCUUACCAUAGAUUGUGUGGUGUGUGUAUUUCUUACUAAUUUUCUUAAUGUCUCUUAUUCUUGAAUUUUUUUUUUUUUAAUUUAUAACCUUUACUCUUCUUGUCGCAGCUGGUCAGCUGUGACCUAUUGGGACGCGACCAUUUAAUAAACAAUUGAAGACUCCACUUCUUAAAGUGCCCCGUUGAUUUUUCUCAUGACUCGCACUUACACAGAAUUGGAUCUUCAAUCUGUAGCAUCAAAAUUAUAUCAAACUUUCUUCUAAAAUCUAAAUAAUUCAAAACCAUAUUUCAUGGUGAUAAUUCAAAUGUAGAUCAACUAAUUUACUUUUUAUCACCAAGUUAAAGGAGUAGCAGUCUUGACCCCCUUUUAAGGGCCUGUUCGACUGCUAGCAGGAAGGCAAGAAGUUAUUCUCACAACAGACACGAAGUCCUAAUACUUGCCAGAGUAACUUCACUAAAUGGUGGUGUUUAACCAAGCAGCAGAUUAAGUCAACUAACAACUGGUUGGUUCAAAUUCAUUCAUAUGGAUUUUGGUUGACGGUUACCUUGCAGAGGGAUUGAACUUGAAACUACAUAGUUAUGAAGGGACCUUCUUAGCCACACAGCUAAGCUGUACCUACUAAGAAACUGACCUGUAAAUACCUGUAUUUGCUGCUAAUAACCAUUGAAAGAGUGCUCAUGGUUGAACUUAAUUCAUAAUUGCAGUUUAAAUGUAAGGACAGUUGCACUUAUUUCAUACUUCAGUUUUCUGUAUCCCAGGGCCAUAUGCAAAAAUGUUGAUUUCUUGUUUGUCAAACAAGGAAGUUUUCUUCAAAAUUACAGUUUGUACCAGUUUUAGUGGGAAUAUGCUUAUGGCAGACCAAAUGAAGAGAUUUAAAAACAAAUUACAUUUUUUGCUAUUGUCAUCACCCUUAAUUAUAAAACACAAUUGUGAUAAUUAUGACAAUAGUUACAUGAACUUUGCCUUAAUUGAAUUCCCCCCUCUUCACUUUGACUAAGUUUAACUUCAUUUCAUGCCACCCUUAAACAGGGAUACACAUUUCUUUCGUUUGAUUUACAAUUUCUUUUUGUCAACUAAAAAUUUAAUACAAAAUUAAUCACUAUCAAAA
rnacentral:lncRNA from 1 species